AAUUCUAAGUCUUGCACCCGGGUUCAAACAUAUGCACCCCAAGAACCUGCUAAAGAAAUUAGUGUGUCCUCAAACCCAAUGCACCGUCGCCAAUCACUGCGGCAUCAUCUAGAAAAUUUUCAAACGUUCAAUUCAAAAUACCCCCUUUUGAAACUCAAGUUAACAAUCGAUGGCAAGAACGAGACACCGUGAAUCAACAUCGACAUCGUAACCAAUGGAGGCUCUUUCUCGCGCGUAAAUCAAAGAAGUAGGAGGGGGAGAUAUUUACCAAUUGAUUCCGGUGCGGUGGCUAUGGCGAUGUGUUUGUUGAUCCUCUUAUUCGUUUGUGUCGUGCGCUUCUGUUCGUGUCGCAGGACCGUUGUUGUAGUUCGUCAUGGAGUAUUGGUGAUUGACAAUGGAUACGUUCGAUUUACUCUUCGAUCCGUUCUCGGUUCGUGAUGGAGAGAUUAUGCUCGUGGUUAAUUCUUCCGUCGGUGUUGCUGUGGUGCGUGGACGACCGUCGUCACGCUGAGCUGAAGGAGGAAGAACGGAGCUUCUUCGACUUGCAUUCACGUCCGAGAUGAAAGCUCGAGGAAAUUGGUUUUUUUGUGAGUUUCUGUUUUGGGAAUUUCUUGGAGGAGCUUACAGAGAUUUUUCCGGAAAUUGUGAUUGAUUCCCGUUAGAAGCAGCUUUGGAAUCUUGCUUGGACAUUGUUGGGAUUCAAUGUCUUGACUUGGAUUAUUAUGGGCUUAUUGGAUUAUGCUCAUGUUGGAUAUUUCUUGGAAUGCUUUUGAAGUUUGUGGACCUAGCUAUCAUGGAUCAUGUUGUAUAAUUGUAGGGUUUAUUGUAUUUUUUGAUUGAAAACCUUGUAUAUGGAUGUAAUUGGAUGGGUGAUUGUAUGUUGUAAUUUUGGAUAUUUUGUAAUGAUUUAUGUUAUGCAUUUGAAAUUAUUGUAAUGUUUAUGGUUGUAAUGAAAUGUAAUUUAGAAAUUCAAAUUGUAAUAGAAUUGAUGUAUCAUGAUUGAAAAUGAAAGGUAUUGAAAUGGUUA